CACGUAGGGUGCAAGCGUUGUCCGGAAUCAUUGGGCGUAAAGAGCUCGUAGGCGGCUUAGUAAGUCGGGUGUGAAAACCCCAGGCUCAACCUGGGGACGCCACCCGAUACUGCUAUAGCUAGAGUCCAGUAGGGGAGUGUGGAAUUCCCAGUGUAGCGGUGAAAUGCGCAGAUAUUGGGAGGAACACCAGCGGCGAAGGCGGCACUCUGGGCUGGUACUGACGCUGAGGAGCGAAAGCGUGGGGAGCAAACGGG
rnacentral:rRNA from 1 species